rnacentral:tRNA from 10 species
GGUCACGAGCAGGAAAGAAUGAAAAUGUAAAAUUCAGUGGGCUUCAUUUCCAUGGUUGUGGUGUGAAAUUUGUGGGGGAGAUUCCGGAGUGAGGUAUGCCCCAGGUACUCACCUGAAAAAGGGUUCCAGGUACAUGGUGUGUCCGCAGCAUCCCUGGCCCCAUCCUUUCUGUCCUGGAAUUCUGUGUUUGUGGAUAUAUUAGUCAGGACAGGCUAGUUUAGUUUAUGCUACAGCAACAAGUGGCUCCCAAAUCUUAGUGACUUAGAGACUGACAGAUCUUCUCCACCACAUCCUUUGCCGAUUGGCUGUUGCUCUGCUUCCAGUCAUCCUGCUGGAGCAGUCUCUCCCUGGAACACUUGGUCACUGUGGCAGAAGGAAAGGAAAAAUGGUGAACCACUUCCUGGCUCGAAAAGCUUCUGUGUGGAAGUGACACACAUCUCUUCUGUCUACAUUUCAGAAGGGAUGGGGCCAGGGAUGCUGAGGACACACCAUGUACCCUUUUUCAGGCCAUAUCCAGUAACAGAGUCUACUGCAUCAUAUUAACUGAUAAACCCAGGAUGACAAGAGAAACAUGGGACUCACUCUUCAUUUGCAUUGACUCCAGCUAAGAGCUUCAGUUUUCAUGCUUUGCUUCAGAAUUAUUGUGGUCUGAUGCAGAACUGAAAAGGCCAACACGAGAAUCUUCAAGUACAAUUGCCUGGGAAUCCUGAGGUCUGGACAGCAACACCUGAAUCUGAAUCUCUUUUGGGUUGAAUCAUAAAAGAAAAUAGUAUGGAGAGAUUUAAGGCCAGGCCUCUGGAGAAGGAAUUGAUAAAAUAUGUGGUAGUACCUGCGCUACAGAACAGAAUUCACUUGGAAGUUCUUGGCAUAUAGUAAGCACUCAGUAACUGUCAGUUAUCGCUCUCAUCUCUAUGAAGACUGUAUUUGACAUGACAUCAUCUCCAUAAGAUUCCUGAACUCAACUUUAUUUCCUCUUUUUUCCUUUAACCCCAAUUUUCUAAUACCAAUUAGUAAGGUGGCUUCCUCUCCUUCUGGACUUGCUACUCCCAGAAGGAAAUUAAAUUACAAGUCUCUAAUUCCCUAGGCAUUCCCUUGUAGCCAAAGUCAUUAAUCAGUGGCUCAUAUUUAAAAAAAUUGCUCUAGGCCUCUGGAGACUCUUUCUAUGGCAUAAUAGAUUUUCAUUUGUUUCUCAUCCCCUGAGUAGCUUUUAAUUCAGGAUGGAUAUUUGCCCUGCAAUUUCUUUUAUUCCCUGGAUAAUUUGAAAAGCCAGGGGAACAGUGUCACUUUGUCUUAUCCCUUCCCUCUUUAUUAGUCAGUCUGUUCUAACAAAAUGUUGGUUGGUCCACGCUUUUCAUGGAAUGUCAUGGUUAACUGAUAAGCUGCCCCCAAACUCGGUAUCCUGGUUUAAUGUUAUAAUCAUAAUGCCCUCUGAGAUCACUUAGAGAAAAGCUGAGGGUAGCAACUCUGUGGAUUCUUAUUUACCUUAUGCGUUUGACAUCUGCAAUGAUGUGCUUCUUUACCACCUCCCUCAUCAAAUUAAACUAAGAAUGAAAACAGAUGGGCUGGGAAGCCAGUGGAUCAAAAGAAGGACCUGGGGGAAGCUCAGCUUGGGGACCGGCUUGCUCUUUGCCCUCACUAUUUGUCAACUGGGAAUCUCCUGGGUGCUCAGCUGUGCUGGAAUCUCAGAUGAGUAAAUUGAAGCCCAGAAAGGCCAAGAAACUUGAACCAUUUAGGUGAAGAAGAGUGCUCACCAGAUUCCCUUCUGGUCUGGAAAAAGAAAUCCCUUCUUUUGUGGAUGUCAUCUCUACCAUCUCUCGGUGAAAAAUAUUUCAAGAGAAUCCUAAGAUGGAGAGAGCAUUGGAAGUCAUCCGGCCCAAUUCCCUUGUGCAAUUCAAAGCUUCUUUGUAAGAAAAAUGCCCCCAGAAGUUUGUUUGCAUCAUGAAGAUCAGAUUUUGAGGAUCCAGUCUGGCUCUUCCCUGUACAAAACAUUCCUCACAAACAGAAUAUGGACAAUUGUUAAAUGUCAAAGGUAAAGUUAUUGUGGGAACUCCUUCAAAAAGUUCAAGUGAGAGCCCAUUCUAUGAAUGACCAUUUACAUCUAAUUUUUUUCUGUGCUAUGUUACUUAUUCUGAAGUGGUUGAUCCAAUUCCUAAAAGGGAAUAUUUCAUUACCUUUUAUUUCCUAUAGCAUCCAUUCUGACCCCUUUUCGGUUUAAUUAUUCCCUGAUUCCAGUCUUCAUUCACUCAUUUAUUUGAGGAAUAUUUAUUGACCAACAACUAUGCCAGGUCCCAUUCUAUGUGUAGGGACUAUAAAGUUGAACAAGACAGAGGAGGUACUGGCCUCAGAAUUUACAUUCUAGUAGAUGAGAAAGUAAAAAUAAACACAUGAAAACAUGAAUGAACCGGAUAUUGUAGACUGUGAUAGGUGUAGUUUGGGUAAAGCACAGAGUGCAGUAGUAAAGAUAAACUGCACUCAGAGUGGGGCUAUUUUAGAUGGAAUGGAGAUCUCUGAGGAAAUGAAAUUUGAGCUGAGACCUAAAAGGUCACCCAAGGACUCAUGGGAAAACUCAGUUGUUUCUAUCAAAAUUUAGCUUCAUGAACUCCAGGCCCUUGCAAAUGAUGGUUACCAGGUGAGAAAUGUCUCACUGGCAACAGAGGUUGGCAGACCCAGCUCCAGUUCCAUCCCAGCCAACAUACCAAUGUCAUUAAAAUAAGGCCAUUCAUCAAGGUGGAGACUAUUACUAGAAACAAGCAUUCUAAAGUGCCAUUUGAGUGCCAGGCUCUCAACACUGGGCGUAGCACUGCUCCAUGAGGCUUUUGAGAGCAUAUACUGAGGCAUGACCAAAAAAAUUAAGUCCCAUGUAAGUGAUGCAACUGCUCCCCAAUUACUGUGGAAGUAUCUGCAGACUAACUAUUGUGCGUGUGUGUUUGUUUGCUUUAAUGAAUAAAUUCAGUCAACCAACCAUCUAGCUAUUGACUAAAUCCAUUCUUUUUCUUCCAAAAUGUCUAUUGGCUGAAGUUUACUGGUUUUUAUUUCUAUUCGCAUACGUAAUUUUCUAAACCCCAUUCUUAUGGAACCUUCUCUAAGUUCCUCUCUAUGGCCCUGUCCAUGUUCAUACGGAUACACAUAAAGACACAAAUACACCAAACUAAGUUUAGAGCAGUCUGGUGCCUGCCUAAGACUUCAGCCUCAUCUCCUGCUUCUACCCUCUUUAGUUUAGGAAAAACAGGUAACGUUGCUGAGUGCCAAGUAUUGUGUUAGUAGCUUUGCAUGCAUUUUUUCAUUUUAUCUUCACAAGUUUCUUCUAUCACCAUGAUCUGUAUGUUUGACCAUGGUGUUUCCUCCACCUGAAAUUCCCUUGGUGCUCUGCCUGGGGAACUGUUACUCAUUCUUCAAAUCUCAACGGAAUGAUCUCCUCCUCUGGAAAGCUCUCCCUACUUCCCUAGGAAGAAGUAAUCCCUUCCUCAGUUCUGCUUUGAUUAUAACUUUAUAAGCACCUAUCACUCUGCAUGGUAUUAGUUCACUGUCAUGUCCAUUUCCUCUAUUGGGAUGUAAAUUGCUUAUGGGUAAUAAUUAGGCUUUGAAUCAUUUUAUGAUCUGGCCUAAGACAGUGCUUGGCACAUACUAUAGGCUCAUCAGAUGAUGGCUGAGUAGAAUUAAAUUGAAUCAAGUUGAAGUUAUACUUUGAUGUUUAUCAAUUAACAUGUGUAGUGUGUUAAAUGGUGGUCACUGAAAACAUACGUCUGCACCCUAAUUCCUGGAACCUGUGAAUAUAACCUUACAUGUUAAGAAGAAAUAUGACCUUAAAUGGAUAUGGAGACAAGGAGCUUAUCCUGGAUUGUCUGAGAGGGCCCUAGAUGCAAUCGCAUGUAUUCUGAUAAGUGGAGAGAAACAGAAGAGGAGGAUGCAAUGUGACCAUGUAGGCAGAAGUUUGAAUGGUGCAGCCACAAGCCAAGGAGCCCCUGGGGCCAUCAGAAGCUGGAAGAAGCAAGGAAUGGAUUCCUUCCUAGUGUUUGGAAGGAGUGUGCACUUGCCAACACCUUGGUUUGAGACUUCUGGCCUCUGGAACUGUGACAGAAUAAAUAUCUGUUGUUUUGAGCCACCCAAUUGUUGCUAAUUUGUUAAAGCAACCUUAGAAAAUUAAUAUAGCAUCCACAAUAAAAUUUCUCAAAAUAUAUGUUCCUGUGAAAUGGAAGAGUUCUAGGGAUCUAGUAGCAUAUACGGAACCCAGAUAAGUUAUACAAGUUUUUCCCUGAAAGUCUUUUCAGAUUCUUUAGCGGGCUAAGGUGCAUUGUGAAUCCCAAAAACUUUAGCGUUUUUCAGCAUCUAUUAUCACAUAAUCCUUUCCCCACCCAUGGAAUUAUAUACUAAACUGUUUUUGUAGAUGUUGAUGUUCUGUAGAACAGAGUUUUGGGGUCUGUAUGACUUAAGAUCCUUCUACAAUGGAACACAGUGAGGAGGGUAUUCAGAGGAGUCAUAGAGGGCAUUGAUCUUGCAAUAUAUACUCAGGAAAUUACCAUGGGCAGAAUAAAAUGCUUUUGAAAAUAUUUAAUGUUUGCUUGGCAUUGUUUCUCUUGGGUUUAGCUUUGCAAAAUUUUCCUCAGGUAUCAUUUUUCUUGUUGCCAUGGAGCCAAUUCACUUCCCAAGGCAAGUUGGUGAUUGGCCUAAGGGAAACUAUUGAGAAAAAAUGGACAGCUCAAGAUGUGGUUUGAAACAUUGAUGUUCUUUCUUGGUGCACUUAACUCUUCUCUCUGCUAUUAUUUUUCUUCUUCACUCUCCUGGAAUCUCCCUCUUUCCCAGUGUAAGUGAGAGUCUAAUAGCUCAUGAUGCAGCUUGGUUUGUUGUGUAUUGAAGUGACCGUAGCUGCAUUUGUUUUGGCAAACCCAUCAUCAUUUGUCUGAGGCAUAACAAUGGCCUCUUUAUUGAUGGUUUAAUCCAGUUCCUGAGGCUGGAUUAAAUAAAUGAGACAAUUGAACCUCAGAUAGGUAAGUGACUUGGCCUUGGUCACCUAGCAAGGCACUGCUAGCCAGACACACAAUCUCACUUAGUAAUUUCUGUCUAGUGCCUCCUACUAGACAGGCCAAGGCCCAGGGCACUGCACUCUGCAUGGGGUGGAAGUAGGGUGUAGCAUUGGAAUGGAGGUAGUGGUAGAAUGCAGUACUUAAAGCCAAGGAGAGAACACUAAAGAAUCCAUAGCCCCAGGAGAAGUAAAGUCAAAGGGAACCAAAAUCCAAAGGCAGUAAUCACCGAGAGGGACUCAGGAGUGAGAGAAAAUUCAUGGACAAGUGGCAGGUCAGAAGCCAGGGAAGUCAGGGCUGCCAGAAAUUUGCAAGCAGCAGGCAGGACCCCUAGUCUUUAUACAACCCUGGUCUUUCUGUAAAAGGCUGGAAAAAAACAGCUUUUUCAAACAUGCUAUAUUCAAAUGUGCCAUAAUUGUUCUGUUUUGAGAAACCAGAAUGGUCUGGCUUUUGUGCAGAAAUAAGGAGAAUAUCAUCCUUUGCUGCUCAAUGAUAAAUGUAUUGCCUGAACCUGAGCCUGGAAGACACUGCCCUACAUGUGCCCAAUGUCUCACAAUGCUUCCUUUGGGCAGUUUAGUUUGGUGUGUGACCUCUGACCUCAAAGUAUCUGAAUAGAAAACAUAACCACACUAGUUCACGCUACCUAUUCCUCUUUCCUCCAAGCAAGUACACUGAAAAUGCUAAGUCCAAACUGUGAAAGAUCUGAGAUAUUACUGUAUUUGCAAGCUACAAAGUUAGCCCUCCACAAUAUGUAUAUAUGCUUAUGUAUAUAUAUUUAUGUGUGUGUGUGCAUGCACACAUGUGUGAGGUGUGUAAUAUAUAUAUAACUUUAUAUCUGACCAAGUUUUGCAUGCCACGUUCUCACAAAGCAACACAAUGAGGGCUUGAUGUCACUGCAUGUGCAGUGGCGUUGGCUCUACAGGAGAAGAGGAACCCUGAAGUUAUAAAGUUUGGAAGUUUAUGGGACAUCCAUCCAUGUUUUCUUCUGGAAAGAGGAAGAAAUAAAUACUUUACUCUUGAAUGGAAAAAAAAAUAUUUUUGUGGAGAAGAGGGGAGGGUUUUUAUUUUGCCACCCUAGACUGUAAACAAACGGUUUCAGGGACAGAAAAAUCCUGAGGUCUCUAUCUUUAGGUUUCAUACUAUGGUCCAAAUAUGUGUGUAUCCUCAAAAUUCAUGCGCUGAAAUCCUAAUCCUAAAGUGACAGUAUUAGAAAGUGGGGCCUUUGGGAGGUGAUUAGAGGAUGAAGGUGGAGGCCUCAUGAAUGGGAUUAGAGUCUUUAUAAAAGGACCUGAAGGAGCUUUUUUACCCUGCCACCAUGUGAGGACACAGUGAGAAGGCACCAUCUAUGAACCAGAAAGCAGAUGCCCUAACCAGACACUGAAUAUGCUGGCGCCUUGAUCUUGGACUCAGCACACAGAACUGUGAGAAAUAAAUUUCUAUUGUUUGUAAGCUACCCAGUCUAUGGUACUUUCUUAUAGCAUCCCAAAUGGACUAAAACAUUUGAUAUUCAGUCAAAUGUUCUUUGUUCAGUGUUGUUUGUUCAUAAAGCUCUGACCAUGAGGAAACAUGAAAAUAUUUGUGGAGCACUGUCUCCCAAUACCAAAACUCAUCGUUUCUCUCUUAAAAAUAAAGGCAUUUCCAGAACAUCAAUAGAUGCUGGGGUAAGUAAAGGAAGGAGAGAAAAAGAAUGAAAAAGGAAUGAAGCUAUUGUACAUAUGAGCAGUGCCUGGGUUCUAGUUAAAUGAGCCUAAAAUGCCUGUUGCUAUCAUGAUAAGUUACACACAUGUCAAUGUGAACUCUCACUAACCAAGGAGAAAACUGAGAUAACUCUUAUUUUCCUCUCUCCCCUCCCCUCCCCUCCCCUCUCCCUCCCUCCCUUCCUUCCUUCUUUCCUUCCUUUUCUCUUUGUUCUUUCUUUCUUUUGAUUUCUUUCUUUUUCUUUCUUUCUUCUUGCUUCUCUAUUUCUUCCUUUCUUUUUCUUUCUUUCUUCUUUCCUUCUCUCUCUAUUUCUUCCUUCUUUCUGCAUCAGAUGGUUAACAAAAUAGACACAGUCUUGGAGCAAGUCUAGAGUGGCACA